rnacentral:rRNA from 1 species
UACGGGGGGGGCAAGCGUUGUUCGGAAUUACUGGGCGUAAAGGGCUCGUAGGCGGCCAACUAAGUCAGACGUGAAAUCCCUCGGCUUAACCGGGGAACUGCGUCUGAUACUGGAUGGCUAGAGGUUGGGAGAGGGAUGCGGAAUUCCAGGUGUAGCGGUGAAAUGCGUAGAUAUCUGGAGGAACACCGGUGGCGAAGGCGGCAUCCUGGACCAAUACUGA